AAUAGUUAUGAUCUUGAACNUUAAAGAAUUUGGCGGUAAAUUAAUUUGUCUAGAGGAAUUUGUUAUGUAAUAGAUAUUACACUUUUAAUCUUACCUUAUUUAAAUGGUUUGUAUACCGCCGUUUAGAAUAUUUUUAUUGAAAUAAUUUUCUUUAAACUAUAGUUAUUAAAUCAGGUUAAGGUGCAGCUUUUAAUAAGGGUUUAAAUGAAUUACAUUUUUUGGAAAAAAGUAAUAUGAAUAAUUUUCUGUAAGGGGUUUUUGAAGGAGGAUUUAGAAGUAAAUUUAUAAUUAGUAAGUAAUUUUGAAUAAUUAAUACUAAUUUAUGU
rnacentral:rRNA from 1 species